rnacentral:rRNA from 1 species
GAUGAACGCUGACAGAAUGCUUAACACAUGCAAGUCAACCUUUGGCGGACAGGUGAGUAACGCGUAAAGAACUUGCCUCACUGAUAGGGCCACCUUUUGGAAACGAAUGCUAAUAGCUGACAUUGUGAGAGAGCGUUGCGUCCCAUUAGCUAGAUGGAGAGGUAACGGCUCACCAAGGCGAUGAUGGGUAGCCGGCCUGAGAGGGUGAUCGGCCACAAGGGGACUGGGACACAGCCCGUAGGCCUACGGGAGGAAGGAGUGGAGAAUAUUGGAGAAUGGACCAAAGUCUGAUCAAGCAUUUCUGUGUGCAAGAUGAAGUUUUCGGAAUGUAAAGUGCUUUCAGUUGGGAAGCGGUACCUAAAGAGAAAGUGACGGCUAAAUACGUGCCAGCAGCCGCGGUAAUAC